UCUCUUUAUUAUUUCCAUCAUCUGAUUUGUCUCCUCGAAAUGUGUGAUUCACUGUUUGGUUGUUAUCUUCUUUGGUUGCAGAUCUGAAUUCAGAAUCUGGACGUACGUACGUUUUUUCUCCAUUUGAGCAAUGGCUUUGGACUUACUAACAAAUCUCCAGAAUUCCUCCAGAUGAACCCUAUUGGAAAGGUCCCCGUGCUUAAGGCUCCCGAGGGUCCUGUUUUUUAGAACAAUGCUAUUGCUCGAUAUGUAAGAUUCGCUUGAAGGUUGAUAAUUCUUUGGUUGGAUCCUCCCUUAUUGAAUAUAUAAGAACCUACGGAGUGUUUUUUUCUUUUAUUUUUUUCACUUGCACAUUUCCUUUUGUUUUCAUCCAAAGGUUUUGUAUUCUAAUUAUCUUCGCAUAUUUGGUAACUUUGCAAGUACAAAUCGAGAGAUGGAUCGAUUGUGCUUCAAUGGAGAUUGAUGUUAACAUUUUAAGAUGGUUCAUUCCAAGGGUGGGCUGGGUCGUGCACCUUUUCUUGCUC